rnacentral:rRNA from 1 species
GACGAACGCUGGCGGCGUGCCUAAUACAUGCAAGUCGAAAGCAGUGGGGACGGGUGAGUAACACGUGGGUAACCUCCCAUCAGAGGGGAUAACACUUGGAAACAGGUGCUAAACCGAUACUGAUGGAUGGACCCGCGGUGCAUGAGCUCAUUGGUGAGGUAACGGCUCACCAAGGCCACGAGGCAUAGCCGACCUGAGAGGGGAAUCGGCUACACUGGGACUGAGACACGGCCCAGACUCCUACGGGAGGCAGCAGUAGGGAAUCUUCGGCAAUGGACGAAAGUCUGACCGAGCAACGCCGCGUGAGUGAAGAAGGUUUGCGGAUUGUAAAACUCUGUUAUUAGAGAAGCGGUAUCUAACCAGAAAGCCACGGCUAACUACGUGCCAGCCGCCGCGGUAAUAC